GUGGGGAAUUUUGGACAAUGGGGGCAACCCUGAUGGAGCAACACCGCGUGCUGGAUGAAGGCCUUCGGGUCGUAAACAGCUUUUGUAUACGAAGAAUAUGACGGUAAUAUACGAAUAAGGGUCGGCUAACUACGUGCCAGCAGCCGCGGUCAUACGUAGGACCCAAGCGUUAUCCGGAGUGACUGGGCGUAAAGAGUUGCGUAGGCGGCUUAUUAAGCGAGUAGUGAAAUCUGGUGGCUCAACCAUCAACACAUUGCUCGAACUGAUAGGCUUGAGAAUGGUAGAGGUAGUUGGAAUUUCUUGUGUAGGAGUGAAAUCCGUAGAUAUAAGAAGGAACACCAAUGGCGUAGGCAGACUACUGGACCAUUUCUGACGCUGAGGCACGAAAGCGUGGGGAGCGAACCGGAUUAGAUACCCUUGUAGUCC
rnacentral:rRNA from 1 species